UUUCAGCCUUACUCAUAUGGCAAGUUGAAGAACUUAAGUAACCGCAGUACCUAUUAAGUGAUCAAGCUUUCCAUCUUUUUUCAGUUUUCCUGGUGAUGGCAGGUACAAGCUUUCUUAUUACCACUUUGGCUAGCUGAUUACAGAAAGGGAUAAGCCCUCUGGGUUUCUCUAAGUAUCAUGGCCUUCGACCUAUUGUGGAAUUCAUGACAUCUAACGUCUUCGCAUAGAUGCCCGUUCCGACUCCUGUUCUCUCUCUGGACGGAAUGUUGGGCAAGUUCAUGGUCGGGCCUUAAUUCUUCCCAUCACACCGUUCCCGUUAGCAACGCUUCGUUUCGUUCGCCCCCCUCGAUGUCACUCCGACUCCUGUUCCCUCUCUGGAAUGCUAAACCCAAGCCCGAAGUAACAAAGCAUAGCGCCUAUAAAUACCCUCAUCCUCCCCGUCGAUCUCUCACAAAGCGCUUCGUCACCUUCCUCUUCGAUCCCGUUCUCUUCUCAGCUCCUAUGCUCAACAGCAAUGGCGAACAAGGACGAGGCUUCUUCCUCCUCCGAUCUCAGGGGUACGAAGAGGGAUUAUAGCACCGCGAUCCUGGAGCGCAAGAAGGGGCGAAUAGGUUGGUCAUGGAUGAGGUGACGAACGACGACAACUCCGCUGUUUCGAUGAAUCUGGAGAAGCUCCAGCUUUUCUGCGGCGA